AGUGUGCAAUUGUAUUUCCAAGGCUGGAUAACUCAGAAAACAAGUAAAAGGAACUUUAGUCUCCUCAAAGUAAGAACUGCUGCAUGAAUACAUGGGGACAUUUUAAAGGUACCAUUUAAUGGCUGGAGGCUUAACAACUGUCUGCUGUGAACAUUGUCAGACCUGAUGGAGGAGAAACACCCUAUGAGAAGUCCUUGUUGGAUUAGAAUGAU